CAAGUCGAACGAAGCGUAGGACCGGAGAUUCGUCGAAGGACCGUAGUGACUUAGUGGGCGGACGGGUGAGUAAUGGUAUGAGCAACCUGCCUUUCAGAGGGGGACAACAGUUGGAAACGACUGCUAAUACCGCGUAACGUAUCGUGGGGGCAUCCUCGUGAUACCAAAGGAGCAAUCCGCUGAAAGAUGGGCUCAUAUCUGAUUAGCUUGUUGGCGGGGUAACGGCCCACCAAGGCGACGAUCAGUAGCCGGACUGAGAGGUUGAACGGCCACAUUGGGACUGAGAUACGGCCCAGACUCCUACGGGAGGCAGCAGUGGGGAAUAUUGGGCAAUGGGCGAAAGCCUGACCCAAGCAACGCCGCGUGAAGGAAGAAGGUCUUCGGAUUGUAAACUUCUUUUAUGAGGGACGAAGGACGUGACGGUACCUCAUGAAUAAGCCACGGCUAACUACGUGCCAGCAGCUGC
rnacentral:rRNA from 1 species